AGAGUUUGAUCCUGGCUCAGGAUGAACGCUAGCGGCAGGCUUAAUACAUGCAAGUCGUGGGGCAGCAGGUUUGUAGCAAUACAGAUGCUGGCGACCGGCAAACGGGUGCGUAACACGUACGCAACUUACCCAUUACUGGUGAAUAGCCCAGGGAAACUUGGAUUAAUACACCAUAACAUAUAGAAAAGGCAUCUUUUUUAUAUUAAAGCUUCGGCGGUAGUGGAUGGGCGUGCGGUUGAUUAGAUAGUUGGCGGGGUAACGGCCCACCAAGUCUACGAUCAAUAGCUGAUGUGAGAGCAUGAUCAGCCACACGGGCACUGAGACACGGGCCCGACCCCUACGGGAGGCAGCAGUAAGGAAUAUUGGGCAAUGGACGAAAGUCUGACCCAGCCAUGCCGCGUGAAGGAUGAAGGUCCUCUGGAUUGUAAACUUCUUUUAUCUGGGGCGAAAACCUCCCUUUCUAGGGGGCUUGACAGUACCAGAAGAAUAAGCACCGGCUAACUCCGUGCCAGCAGCCGCGGUAAUACGGAGGGUGCAAGCGUUAUCCGGAUUCACUGGGUUUAAAGGGUGCGUAGGCGGGCAGGUAAGUCAGUGGUGAAAUCCCCGAGCUUAACUCGGGAACUGCCGUUGAUACUAUCUGUCUUGAAUACCGUGGAGGUGAGCGGAAUAUGUCAUGUAGCGGUGAAAUGCUUAGAUAUGACAUAGAACACCAAUUGCGAAGGCAGCUCGCUACACGGUCAUUGACGCUGAGGCACGAAAGCGUGGGGAUCAAACAGGAUUAGAUACCCUGGCAGUCCACG
rnacentral:rRNA from 2 species